rnacentral:tRNA from 1 species
CUGUGAAUAGCUUAUUUUAAAGUUUGAGAUUCUUACUCUUAGGAUGUGUGUUAGACACUUUGCAGA